UAACCUGCCUUAUAAAGGGGAAGAGCCUCCCGAAAGGGAGAUUAAUACCGCAUAAUAUUGAAGCUUUGCAUGAAGUUUCUGUCUCAGGAGCAAUCCGCUAUAACAUGGGCCCGCGGCGCAUUACCUUGUUGGUGAGGUAACGGCUCACCUGGGCGACCAUGCGUACCCGACCUGAGAGGGUGAUCGGCACAUUGGGACUGAGACACGGCCCAGACUCCUACGGGAGGCUGCAGGGGGGAAUAUUGCACAAUGGGGGAAACCCUGAUGAUCCAACGCCCUAUGAGUCAUGUAUGUCCUCGGAUCGUAAAGCUCUGUCUUCAGGGACAAUAAUGACGGUACCUGAGGAGGAAGCCACUGCUAGCUACGUAUUAGCACCCGCAGUAAUACUUAGGUGGCAAGUGUUGUAUGGAAUUAUUGGGUGUAAAGCGCGCGCAGGCGGUCUCUUUGAUCUGAUGUGAAAUCCCCCGGCUCAACCAGGGAGGGUCUUUGAUAAACUGGGUGGACUU
rnacentral:rRNA from 1 species